CAGAGAAAUUGGGGAAUUCAGAACCCAGAUGGCCAGUUUCAUAUGGAAUGAGUUAUUACAGGGAGCUGCAUUUAAGGUAGUUGGUAUAAGAAUGAUACAGGAAAACUCCAUCCAGAGGAUCUGUGAUUUGUACAGUUUGCUGGUUUUCCUUCUGAGGAGCUGGUCCAGGAUUAUAUAGGAAGGGUUAUGUGAAGAUAUACCUCAAAUUUACCACUGGGAGUGGAGAAUCAUAUCUGGGAGUGACCAAGGAAUCCCUACAACAGGAGGCUCAGAGAAGACAAGCAAGGACAGUGUGCUCACAAAGCUCAGAAAAUAACAUAGCAAGCAACUAUAACUACUGGAAGAGAAGCUGGACUAAUCUCAACACCAAAGGGUGUCCAUCAUUGUAGAUAAACAGCUGUGUCAGUUGAGUAAAUGUAAAUGGCUUUCCCUAAAAUAAUCCACAGAAUGUACUGCCUUUCUGAGCCAGCCAGAGCAAUAAGGGGGAAGUGCAUAUGUGGCUCAGUCCAAAACAAUAUAAAAACCAACCAAACUGACCCUUGAAGAGAAGAACAGGCUUCAGGAGGCUUCAAGCCAUUUGUUCUUCUUGGUAGCUGAGGACACUCAGCAUCAUGAUGCUUUGACUAGUAAUGUGAACCAUAUUUGAUUCAACUGCAUCUUGCAAUUGCUACACUGUGCUUGUGUUAUGAUUUCAGUAUAUUGUUGUAUCACUUUUCUACAUUAAAAUCCCUUGUAAUGCAAAUACCUUCUAAUAAGCAAAUUUAGUAUUAAAACAUUGAAUCUUUCUCAUAUGGAAUAUCUAAAAGAAUGUGGUCAGGGAACACUCUGAGUACAAAAUGUAUGAGGAGAAAUGGUUUAGAACUUGAUGUUGUGUUUCACAGCACUGAGGAAAAGCUGCUUUUAAUCUCCUCUGGGAUUAUUCUUUGCUAAUUAGAAAUUUGGAUAAGACAGAAAAAACCCUAAACCAUCAUUGAUUUUAAAACAUAACUGAGUUGUUUCUAACUACUCAGCAUCCCUUGAAAUGAAGAGACUAGGAACGUUAGAUUAGUAAUUAGAUCAGCUCACUCCAAUUUUGCAUUUUCAAAAAGAAAAUAUUAUGUUAAUUAGCGGGUUCUCUAGUCUCUAUUUUAUGCUCAAGUUUUCAUUCCUUAUUUCCUCAAUUAUCUGGCAUAAAAGAAUUUAUAUAACCUACAUACUUUGCUGAAGAGCUAUAUUACAGUCUUGUAGACUUGUUUCUUGUAUAAACUCCAGAGAAUUUUGGCACACCACAAAGGGCAGAGCUCUCUUCAAACAGCUGUGGUGAAAAACUGUUACCUCCUCAUCUCAUGGACUUACAGAAGAUUUCUUCUUACCAAUUUUACUGCCAAUCUUUUUCUACAUUUGCUUUUAGUCCUUUAGCAGACAUGGCUAAUGAACGAAAUAUAUAGUAAGAAGAGGUCUGUCAAGCUGGUAAGAACAGCCUGCCUCCUUCAGCUCUGAAAUGCCAGCCUCUCAGAGGUGAGUUACCAAACUAUACAACAGUACUUGGCCAAAAUGGCUCUGAACCUGAAGAGUUUAUCACUAUAUCAAUUUGAGUUUGCAAGGGAAAAUCCAAGUUUGCCACAUGCAGGAUAGCAGAAUGCUUUACACAAUCAGGCUGUAUAAAAGUUUAAGCUCUAAAUAUCAGUUUCUCCUCUAGAAGACAGCACCAAGAUGCCACUAUAAAUUUAAGGCAAUAGGUCAGAAGAGAAAGCCUGGCAUUGAUGGCUUAUUCCCAAACUCACCUGCCUACUGCCUAUCUCAACACACAUUCUGAUUUCUUCCUCAGAAAAAACUGUCUGAGAGCUCCAACACCUCUUACAUUCAAUUCCUGCUGGGAAUCACAAGUGGUACCCUAUGGUACUACUUUUGUGAGGCCCUGCAACACUCUUCUAUCAGAAUGAAUGUCCUGUAUCCCACAGCCAAAGGCUGCAGCAGUUGGCUUCCAAGCCCUGUUUUAUCUGACAUGGUGCUGGUCACUGAACUGCACCUUUCUGUUUUCUGGAGGGAGUCUCUCUAUUGGGAUCUAAGCUUUUCUGCAUCACUUAAUACAGAGUCAGUUAAUACAGUUAAAACAGCUCUGAAAGUCAGUGGUAGCAGAAAAAGACAUGAAAAUAAGCCAGUGUUGGCUGGGGCUCUUGUUAAGGGCACAACAGUUCUGCUUACCUUGCCUAACCCACAUCAAAGGAGAAACAAGACAUCAGGUGGAAAGGGAGGUCACUGUUCAUAAAGGUCAUGGUGCUCAAUGCAGAUCAGCUGUAGGAAGCUGAUCAGGUGGGAUUAGUACACAAAAUAGUGCUGGAUGCAGUCACUGUAGAGAACCACACUAUGCAUCUGCUGAGCUCUAUGGCCAAAGAUCACAUGUUCCAGUGUGGGGCAGGCCAAGAGCACGUAUCAACACUGUAGAGAAACCUGUGAUCUCUCUAGUAACUGCAACUCAGUCUGAUCCAUCAGCCAUCUCAGUAUUCAUCAAAUUGAAAUUCCUAUUACUGCUGUUGGUCUGUGGGCAUUUAAACCCUUUUUACUUUAUGAAAAUACAUAUAAAAAUGGAAAUUUCUGGAAAAGUUUCCUUUAGAAUAUGUGUCGUUUUAUUGGUUUAGACACUUUACAGAAUCAGAGUCCUCAAGCAAUAAAAGAAUCUGAUCAGGGAAAUAAAAAUUUAACAUCCGCCAUGAAUUCUCCUCCUUUAACUAUGCUAGUAAGGCUUUCAUAUUUAUAGCUGAAGAUUAACAUGUUCAUGGGAUAAUAAAUUACACCGGAUCUAAUUACUACAUCACCAGCAAUAGUUUUUCAUAGAUGCUGACAGGCCUUAAAUUGGGAUGCGUCCUUUAAUUCUGCUCUUAACCUUCAGAUGAAUCUCCCAGGCAGAAGUACAAAGGGAACAGAGCAGUGGUCAUGAUGGGGACACAGUUCUUUCAGUAGACCACCAACCCUAUGAAAACAAGAUACUGCGAAAGUCCUGGUCUCACUUAAAUCUAUGGCAGAGUCCUUUUGAGCAAAGAGUGGCGAGGAUUUCAUCUUUGGUAUCACUCCACUGUUGGUCCAAACCCCUGGGUGUAAGGUCAAGCAUUUAUGUAGGUUUGAGAGAUGAGAGUCCAAAUGUUGCUGCUGUCUGUUAACCACUGAGGUGAGAUGGGGGACAAAGCUGUAGGUAAAAGCUCCA